rnacentral:lncRNA from 1 species
CUCGGAGCAGCCGGCUGGCGCCAACGGCCGCGGGCAGUGACCAGCUUAGCACCUGGGCCAGCAGCUGUAGAGGUUGCGCCGGGUCCCUCAGCACUGCCGGUCCGCCCGCGCAGCGCUUGAAUUCUCGCCGGGCCUCAGCCACCCCGCCAUGGGGCAGGGCUCGGGACCUGCAGCCCGCCAUGCUCGAGCUUCCCCCACCCUUCAUGGGCUCCGGCGCCCACCGAGCCUCCCCGAUGGGCGCCGCCCCCUGCUCCAGGGCGCCCGGUCCCCUCGACCGCCUGGUCCCAUGGACCGCCCAAGGCUGAGGAGUGCGGACGCGCGGUGCGGGACUGGCGGGCAGCUCAGCACACAGGAUCUACUAGUAAAUCUGCUGCUGCUCACUCUUUCAGUCUGCACCGCCUUUAUGAGCUGUAACACUCACCGUGAAGGUCUGCAGCUUCACUCCUGAAGCCAGCAAGACCACGAGCCCACCGGGAGGGAGGAACAACUCCGGACAGGAGGAAUGAACAGCUCCAGACGUGCCACCUUAAGAGCUAUAACACUCACCAUGAAGUUCUGCACCCUCACUCCUGAAGCCAGUGAGACCACGAACCCACUGGAAGGAAGAAACUCUGAACACACCCAAGCAUCAGAAGGAACAAACUCUGGACACACCAUCUUUAAGAACUGUAACACUCACUGCAAGGGUCCGCUGCUUCAUUCUUGAAGUCAGUGAGACCAAGAACCCGCCAAUUCCAGACACAGAAUUCAACUGUAAAUCUGUCUUAUCUUAUCUUGGGCCUUUUUUGCGUGGUAGGCUAUUUAUUACUGCCACAAUCUCAGAACUUGUAUUGGUAUAUUCAGGGAUUCAACCUCUUCUUGGUUCAGCUUUGGGAGGGGCGGGUACAUGUCCAGAAAUUUAUCCAUUUCUUCUAGAUUUUCUAGUUUGUGUUGUUAGAGGUGUUUAUAGUAUUCUCUGAUGGUUUGUAUUUCUGUGGGGUCGAUGGUGAUAUCUCUCUUAUUUCUGAUUGUGUUUACUUGACUCUUCUUUCUUUUCUUCUUUAUUAGUCUAGCUAGCAGUCUAUCAAUUUUAUUUUUUUUUUCAAAAAAACUACUUCUAUAUUCACUGAUUUUUUUUUUAAUGAUUUUCCAUGUCUCUAUCUGCUUCAGUUCAGCUCUGAUUUUGGUUAUUUCUUGUCUUCUGCUAGCUUUGGGAUUUGUUUGUUCUUGGUUCUCUAGUUCUUUUAGUUGUGAUGUUAGGUUGUUAACUUGAGAUCUUUCUAGCUUUUUGAUGUGGGCAUUUAGUUCUAUAGAUUUCCUUCUUAACACUGUCUUUGCCACGUCCCAGAGGUUCUGUUACAUUGUGUCUUUGUUCUCAUUAGUUUCAAAUAACUUCUUGAUUUCUGCCUUAAUUUUAUUGUUUAUCGAAAAGUCAUUCAGGAGCAGGUUGUUCAAUUUCCAGAUAAUUGUGUGGUUUUGAGUGAAUUUCUUAAUCUUGAGUUCUAAUUUGAUUGCUCUGUGGUCUGAGAGACUGCUUGUUAUUAUUUCAGUUCUUUUGCUGAGGGUGUUUUAUUUACAAUUAUGUGAUCAAUUUUACAGUAAGUUACAUGUGUCAAUGAGAAGAAUGUAUAUUUUGUUGUUUUGGGGUAGAAAGUUCUGCAGAUAUCUGUCAGGUCCUCUUGAUCCAGAGCUGAGUUCAAGUCCUAAAUAUCUUUGUUAAUUUUCUGUCUCGAUUAUCUAAUAUUGACAGUGGGGUGUUAAAAUCUCCCACUAUUCUUGUGUGGGGGACUAAGUCUCUUUGUAGGUCUCUAAGAACUUCGUUCAUGAAUCUGGGUGCUUCUCUGUUGGGUGUAUUUAAGUUUAGGAUGUUUAGGUCGUCUUGUUGAAUUAAACCCUUUACCAUUAUUUAAUGCCCUUGUUUGUCUUUAUUUUCAUCUUUGGUGGUUUAAAGUCUGUUACGUCAGAAAAUAGGAUUGCAAUCCUUGCAAUUUUCUGUUUUUCAAUUGCUUGGCAAAUUUUCCUCUAUUCCCUUAUUUUCAGCCUAUGUGUGUCUUUGCAUGUGUGAUUGGUUUCUUGAAGACAGCACAUCGAUGGGUCUUGGUGCUUUAUUCAGCUUGCCAUUCUCUGUCUUUUAAUUGGGGGAUUUAGCCCAUUUACAUUUAAGGUUAGUAUUGUUAUGUGUGAAUUUGAUCCUGUCAUCAUGAGGUUAGCUUGUUACUUUGUAACAGAGUGGGGUCACACUAUCACUCACCACUUCCCUUGGCUUGGGGUGGUGGUUCCUUGGGCUCUGUGCCACUCCUGGGUGGUUUGUCACCCCCCUCCUUUUCUUUAUUUUCCAUGGGUCAAGUUGUUCACCUAGUUAUUCCCAAUGCAAGAACAUGGAUAUUUCCAUUGAAGGUGCUGAAUUCACUCACCCCUUUUCAUUUCUCUUUGUGAGUGCUGCGGACUGCAGCUGCUUCUAAUCAGCCGUUUUGUUCCUACAUCUGGCCUAUCUUUGAAGUCUCAAAGGUGAGGAAUAGGUCUGUCUCAUUCACCACUGGAUAUCCAAAAAAAGAAGUAAAAGAACAUAUGUCAUAGCUGCAUCCAUACACUUUUGUACACUUUUACUCCUAUUUUAUUUUUAAUCUCAUAUACUUCAUUAACAUUUAGCACCUGUUUGUUAAUCACCAUUUUAUAGUUGCACAGAGCAAAACAAUCCAAUUUACUCUCGAAAUUUAGUAAUUGUUAGUCACCUUUUUCUUUCCUGCUGCAUGUGUUUCCUCUCCUCAUAUCCAAGAAAUAAGAAUAGGGAACAUAACUAGUUUACCUGUUACUAGCUUAAUUUUGAGUGAUACACACUGAAAGCAAAAUCUUGUGUUAUGCAUUUGGAAUGUGAGAUCCAAAAAUUUUAAGUUCCUAGCAAUUUAAUAAAACUCUCUCUUUUUUAAGAAUGUAGGGUUAUUGCUUAACACUAAUGUCUUUUAUCUACUCAAACAAUAUUUACUUAAUACCUAGUAUUCUAGGCCUGCUGUAACAAAGUACCACAAACUGAGGCACUUAUACAACAGAAACUUGUGUUCUCACACUUCUAGAGGAUGGAAGUUGACAAUUGAGAUAUAGACAGGCUUAGUUCAUUCUGAGAGCUGUGGGAGGAGGAUCUGUUCCAGGCCUCUCUCCUGGUUUGUAAAUGAAUGUCUUCUUCCUGUGUCUCUUCACAUAGUUUUCCCUCUAUGUGUAUCUGCCUCUGUGUCCAAAGUUCCUUUUCAUAAGGACUUCAGUCAUAGUGGAUUAGGGCUCA